rnacentral:miRNA from 1 species
CCAGUUAAAUUGGAGUUUCAGGUAAACAGUGACUGAUAUGUUAGCAUAAUUAUGUUCCAAACAUUGCAUGGGACAUACUAAUGCUAAAAAAAAAUA